rnacentral:rRNA from 1 species
GAGUUUGAUCGUGGCUCAGAACGAACGCUGGCGGCAUGCCUAACACAUGCAAGUCGAACGGGAUCCAGGCUUCGGCCUGGUGAGAGUGGCGGACGGGUGAGUAACGCGUGGGAACCUGCCCAAUGGUCUGGGAUAACCGCGGGAAACUGCGGCUAAUACCGGAUAAGCCCGAGAGGGGAAAGAUUUAUCGCCGAUGGAGGGGCCCGCGUCCGAUUAGGUAGUUGGUGAGGUAACGGCUCACCAAGCCGACGAUCGGUAGCUGGUCUGAGAGGAUGAUCAGCCACACUGGGACUGAGAUACGGCCCAGACUCCUACGGGAGGCAGCAGUGGGGAAUAUUGGACAAUGGGGGCAACCCUGAUCCAGCAAUGCCGCGUGAGUGAUGAAGGCCUUAGGGUUGUAAAGCUCUUUUGGCGGGACGAUGAUGACGGUACCCGCAGAAUAAGCCCCGGCUAACUUCGUGCCAGCAGCCGCCGCAGU